GGAGAAGUGGCAGAGUGGUCGAAUGCACCGCACUCGAAAUGCGGCAUACCUGCAAGGGUAUCGUGGGUUCAAAUCCCACCCUCUUCGCCA
rnacentral:tRNA from 1 species